GACGAACGCUGGCGGCGUGCUUAACACAUGCAAGUCGAACGGAAAGGCCCUGCUUUUGUGGGGUGCUCGAGUGGCGAACGGGUGAGUAACACGUGAGUAACCUGCCCUUGACUUUGGGAUAACUUCAGGAAACUGGGGCUAAUACCGGAUAGGAGCUCCUGCUGCAUGGUGGGGGUUGGAAAGUUUAGGCGGUUUGGGAUGGACUCGCGGCUUAUCAGCUUGUUGGUGGGGUAGUGGCUUACCAAGGCUUUGACGGGUAGGCGGCCUGAGAAGGUGACCGGGCCCCAUGGGACUAAGGGAGGGACCAGUGUGCUACGGGAGGCAGCAGUGGGGAAUAUUGCACAAUGGGCGGAAGCCUGAUGCAGCAACGCCGCGUGCGGGAUGACGGCCUUCGGGUUGUAAACCGCUUUCGCCUGUGACGAAGCGUGAGUGACGGUAAUGGGUAAAGAAGCACCGGCUAACUACGUG
rnacentral:rRNA from 1 species